UACGGAGGGUGCAAGCGUUAUCCGGAUUUACUGGGUUUAAAGGGUGCGUAGGUGGGUCUGUAAGUCAGUGGUGAAAUCUCCGAGCUUAACUCGGAAACUGCCAUUGAUACUAUAGAUCUUGAAUAUUCUGGAGGUGAGCGGAAUAUGUCAUGUAGCGGUGAAAUGCUUAGAUAUGACAUAGAACACCAAUUGCGAAGGCAGCUCACUACGGGAUUAUUGACACUAAGGCACGAAAGCGUGGGGAUCAAACAGG
rnacentral:rRNA from 1 species